GCCUGUACUGCAAAUGGGGGGUAUGGAGCUACAAGCGGGAGCCAUGGCUCAGGCACACAGACACAGGAGAACGCAUGUACACCAUCUUAAGUAUGAAGAACUGACGGCAAACACACUGAAGAGAAAACAUGCCCCUAAGACUCCCUCCACCAUCAAGCAGAGCACAUUACUGAAGACAGUGUUUCAAAAAUCCAUUGACAAAGCUGUGGUGAAGUAUGUGGUCCAAGGGCUCCAACCAUUCGCUGUUGUAGAACAAGAACCGUUCAGAGUUUGUCCAGGAUCUGCAGCCUAACUCAAAUAUCUUAUCAAGGCCCACACUGCGCUCCAGGAUUGAUGAGGCCUCCACAGAAAUGAAGAAGGUGACUGAGGCCAUGAGAGGAGUUGACCAUAUCGCCACCACCACUGCUGGUCUGCAAGAAGACACCGCUUCAUUGGUGUUACAGCCCACUGGAUAGACCCUGACAGUCUCAACAGAUGCUCUGCAGCCCUUGCCUGUAAACGUUUGAGAGGAUCGCACACCUUUGAUGUGUUGACAGGCGCCCUAAAUUACAUCCAUUCUGAGUUUGAAAUCCGGGGUAAGAUUGAGAACAACAACAGACAACGGCUCUAACUUUAGCUUUCCAAGGUUUUGGAGAAGAUGAAAACAACGGGGUAGUGGAAGCAGUGGGUGGUGAAGCAGCUCAGCCAGGACAGGAAGAUGGUGAAGAGGAACAAAAGGAGAGUGAAGAAGUGGAGUUUGUUAAUGUGGCAAAGAUCCUGAAUAAGGAUGAUGGUUUUGAGUACCAGCUGCCGAAGCACCAGCGCUGUGCUUGCCACCUACUCAACUUAGUAUCUGCAGUUGAUGCCCUGAAAGCAACAUCUAGUGAGGCUUACAAAAAAGUGUCCUGUUCAACAUUUGGCAAGUGCUAAGCACUUUGGAACAAAUGCGGAAGAUCCACACUUGCAGCCGAAACAGUUGAAGAUGCUUGUGACCUCCAGCUAAUUUAAGGUUUUGAAUGUUGUCUAAAUCUGUUGCAGUGUUUCCUGACCCUUUGCUUGGGGACUAGUAACUGUUUCACAUGUUGUAGCCAUAUACUAUCAUUGAUCCAUUUAGUCAACUACUCAGCUGAACAGAGUAUGCUGCCACCAUGAGCCCAGUCGGAAAGGCCAUCAACAUCCUGCAUGCAGGCUGAAACCAAUGUCCAGAUGGGGUGGCUACUUCCAACUAUCAACCUGCUGAUCACAAAACUUGACCGAAUCAAGUUGUCCCUGAAGUACUGUAAGCCUCUGGUGGAUGCGCUACAACUGGGACUGAAGAAGCGCUGGUUAAUUAACAGUAUUUUAUUUUUCAUAAACAACUGUGUAUAGUGUACAUUUUGACACUUCAUAGAUUUGAGAGCCACCCAUUUAAACUACAAUCCUGACUUUGUGGUUCAGUCCAAUGGGUAGCCUACUUAGCCCUGUUGCUUGGUUUAUAUAGAUGGGGAUGGAUUAAUGUAGGCUCAUAACAGCAUGAUUUCUAUUGUCAUCUUCCUUGUAUUUCAGGAAUGGACUACAUCAAGGACCACCUGGAAGAACCCUUGCUUCAGCUAGGUGGUGGCACCAGUUCAUCAGAUGAGGAGGACUUCUUCUCUGCCAUGAAGACAUCUCAAGCACAAGAAAGCUCCAAACAGCUGGACGGAUAUCUGGCCUGUUCAGCUGAUCAUAUGGAGUUGCUCAAGUCCUUCCCGGCGGUCUGUAAGCUGUCUCUGAGGCUAAACACACCCUUACCUGCAUCAGCUGCAUGUGAAAGGCUGUUCAGCAUUGCAGGACUUGUUUUCAGCCCAGGAGAGCAAGGCUGGAUUCCAGAAACUUUGAAAACCAGAUUUUACUGAAGUAAAUUCUUCAACUUCAAGUAAUGACAGCUUAAUGCUAGCAAGGACAAGGAUGCCUUACACGUUUUGUUAAUUUAUGUUUAAAAUUCACAAGUUAUAGGUGUCCUUGUUACAAAGGCAUGACCUGACACACUGAAUUCUAAUACAGUUCUAUCAGUGGUGAUGUCCUCAUAUUCCUACAGUGAGGUUGUGUGCAGUUCUGUACAUGUACUUUUGAUAAGCUCAUCAACAUUUUAGUUUUUUUAUGUAUAGGGUUCUAUUAUAGUAUGUUUUUUUUUUUUAAAGCAAAGUGACUGUGAUUGUACAUGCUUACGUUUACUGGCUAUAUUCCUUCAUUAUUAAGGCAUAUUUAUAUUUUGUCUGUAAGAGAUGUAUUUUGAAGUGUGGCCUAUUUGAGAAUCCACGUUCUUUAAAAAAAAUCUGAGCUCUUCAUGUAUCCGUAAGGCUGUUACCUUUCAGAAAAGCUCAAAACAAAUAAAAGGUCUGGCUGUUUUGCUUUUUGGA